rnacentral:rRNA from 1 species
AUUGAACGCUGGCGGCAUGCUUAACACAUACAAGUCGAACGGCAGCAUGACCUAGCUUGCUAGGUUGAUGGCGAGUGGCGAACGGGUGAGUAACGCGUAGGAAUAUACCUUAAAGAGGGGGACAACUUGGGGAAACUCAAGCUAAUACCGCAUAAUCUCUUCGGAGAAAAGCUAGGGACCUUCGGGCCUUGCGCUUUAAGAUUAGCCUGCGUACGAUUAGCUAGUUGGUAGGGUAAAGGCCUACCAAGGCGACGAUCGUUAGCUGGUCUGAGAGAGUGACCAGCCACACUAGAACUGCGACACGGUCCAGACUCCUACGGGAGGCAGCAGUGGGGAAUAUUGGACAAUGGGGGGAACCCUGAUCCAGCAAUGCCGCGUGUGUGAAGAAGGCCUGAGGGUUGUAAAGCACUUUCAGUGGGGAGGAGGGUUGAUAGGUUAAGAGCUAAUUAACUGGACGUUACCCACAGAAGAAGCACCGGCUAACUCCGUGCCAGCCGCCGCUGUAA